rnacentral:sRNA from 1 species
GCCUAGCCCAGAUUGGAGUGGCAUCCUUUUAUGGCGGGGUUCGCCAAAAAAGAUAAAGCGUACAGCUGGAAACUGC